rnacentral:rRNA from 1 species
GCAUAUCAAUAAGCGGAGGAAAAGAAACCAACAGGGAUUGCUCUAGUAACGGCGAGUGAAGCAGCAAUAGCUCAAAUUUGAAAUCUGGCGUCUUCGACGUCCGAGUUGUAAUUUGUAGAGGAUGCUUCUGAGUGGCCACCGACCUAAGUUCCUUGGAACAGGACGUCAUAGAGGGUGAGAAUCCCGUAUGCGGUCGGAAAGGCGCUCUAUACGUAGCUCCUUCGACGAGUCGAGUUGUUUGGGAAUGCAGCUCUAAAUGGGAGGUAAAUUUCUUCUAAAGCUAAAUAUUGGCCAGAGACCGAUAGCGCACAAGUAGAGUGAUCGAAAGAUGAAAAGCACUUUGGAAAGAGAGUUAAAAAGCACGUGAAAUUGUUAAAAGGGAAGGGAUUGCAACCAGACUUGCUCGCGGUGUUCCGCCGGUCUUCUGACCGGUCUACUCGCCGCGUUGCAGGCCAGCAUCGUCUGGUGCCGCUGGAUAAGACUUGAGGAAUGUAGCUCCCUCGGGAGUGUUAUAGCCUCUUGUGAUGCAGCGAGCGCCGGGCGAGGUCCGCGCUUCGGCUAGGAUGCUGGCGUAAUGGUCGUAAUCCGCCCGUCUUGAAACACGGACCAAGGAGUCUAACAUCUAUGCGAGUGUUCGGGUGUCAAACCCCUACGCGUAAUGAAAGUGAACGGAGGUGAGAACCGCAAGGUGCAUCAUCGACCGAUCCUGAUGUCUUCGGAUGGAUUUGAGUAAGAGCAUAGCUGUUGGGACCCGAAAGAUGGUGAACUAUGCCUGAAUAGGGUGAAGCCAGAGGAAACUCUGGUGGAGGCUCGCAGCGGUUCUGACGUGCAAAUCGAUCGUCAAAUUUGGGUAUAGGGGCGAAAGACUAAUCGAACCAUCUAGUAGCUGGUUCCUGCCGAA